UUAUCUUGGUGGUUCCAAGCAUUGAUUGGGUUAUAUUGGUAGCAUUGUUUUCACUAGUACUGGCAUGACAAAAUUUGCAUGUGGAGCUAAGCCACGAAAGAUUUUUGUCAUUAGUCAAUAUAAAAUAGCAAA